AUGUUUCUUCGGGGCAGGGUGUAAUUCCCGACCGACGGUGACAAGUCUAACUUGAAGUCCGUGACCCGCAAUAGUUUGCGGUUGAUCUAGUGAAAAUCUAGAACCGACAGUUAAAGUCUGGAUGGGAGAAGAAAAAC
rnacentral:ncRNA from 1 species